rnacentral:rRNA from 1 species
AUGGGAUGCCUCCUCGGUAAGCUCGCGGACGCGCCGGGCUCCUCCCUCUUCUUCCCCGCCGCCGUGGCCGCGAAGGCCGGGGAGGCCGAUGCCGAGGCGCAGCUCAGCGCGCCGGCGCCGGUGCACAUCGCGGCGGUGAAGAAGGACGCCUCCGGGUGGCCGCUCUGGCUCUCCUCCGCCGCCGGCGACGCGCUCCAGGGCUGGGCGCCCCGCUCCGCCGACGCCUUCCAGAAGCUCGAGAAGAUUGGGUCGGGGACGUACAGCAACGUGUACAAGGCCAUCGAGGUGGAGACCGGGGCGGUGGUGGCGCUCAAGAAGGUGCGGGUGGAUGGCGUGGGCGAGGCCGAGAGCGCGCGCUUCAUGGCGCGGGAGAUCGCCCUGCUCCGCCGCCUUGGUGAGCACGACAAUGUCGUCCGACUCCAUGGACUCGUCACGUCACGCCUCGCCACCGCGCCAUCCCUCUACCUCGUCUUCGAGUACAUGGACCAUGACCUCACCGGGCUCGUCUCCGCCGCCACGGCCUCCGGCACACGGUUCACCUUGCCCCAGGUGAAGUGCUACAUGAAACAGCUAUUGUCGGGAAUCGAGCACUGCCACAACAAGGGCGUUCUUCACCGCGACAUCAAGAGUUCGAACCUGCUUGUCAGCGAGGACGGGAUUCUUAAGAUAGCCGACUUCGGACUGGCCACUCAUUUUGAUCCUGAUAACCCGCGGCCCAUGACUAGCCAAGUGAUCACACUUUGGUAUCGUCCGCCUGAACUAAUGUUAGGCACCACUCACUACAGCGUUGGUGUUGAUCUUUGGAGUGUGGGUUGCGUGUUGGCGGAACUCCUUCUCGGCGAGCCUAUAUUCCCCGGACGAACAGAGGUGGAACAACUUCACAAGGUUUUCAAGCUAUGUGGUACUCCAGCAGACGAUUACUGGGAUAAACUGAAGUUACCACAUCAUACAUUCAAGCCAUAUGAGCGGUGUAUGGCUCAGAAAUUUAAGGACCUGGAACCAUCUACCCUAUCACUUCUAGAGACUCUCCUAUCUAUUGACCCAGAUAUGAGAGGCACCGCGACUGAUGCUCUAAACAGUGAGUUCUUCAGGACAGAACCACAUGCCUGUGAACCAUCAAGCCUUCCCCGGUUUCCGCCGUGUAAAGAAAUGGAUAUAAAACUGAAGUACGAGAAGCACAAAAGAAAAUUGAGGGCGAAUGGCUCAGUAGAACGUCAGACAACAACCAGAAAGCCCAUCUCACAAAAUCAUGGUCGUAGAAGAGUAUUUACUCCAGACGUCAAUAAUAGGCCACAUGGAAACCCAAAGAUACCAAGACUGGUGACAAGUACAAGCACAACCAAACUCGAGAGAUUUCCUCCGCCGCAUCUGGAUGCAUCAAUUGGUCAUAGCAUAGAUUCCUCGGCCGAUGUAACAACCAACGAGUUCUUCUCAUCAUCGGUUGUGGAACUAAAGAAAAUGCCGAGCCUACUAUUUGGUCACGUGAAAUCUUAUCUGAACAGCCCGAAGAAGGGAAUGCACAAAGCGAAGCCAAGCCUCACAAUGGCGCCUUCCACGGUUCUCAUAGGUGCAUUCCGGCCCUACUCGCUUGGCCAUCCGAUGGAGGUGAGAAGAAAGAAUAGGGAUCAGCUCAGAGCCAAAGGAAAAAUUCCAGUAGGUUUAGUCAAAUGA